rnacentral:pre_miRNA from 1 species
GGACUACUCCCUUCGUCCAGAAAUAAUUGUCAUCAAAAUGGAUGAAAAUGGAUGUAUCUAGAACUAAAAUACAUCUAGAUACAUCCAUUUCAAUGACAAGUAUUUCCGGACGGAGGGAGUACAUA